UACGUAGGGAGCAAGCGUUGUUCGGAUUUACUGGGCGUAAAGGGCGCGUAGGCGGCAAAUUAAGUCAGCUGUGAAAUCUCCGAGCUUAACUCGGAACGGUCAGCUGAUACUGAUCUGCUAGAGUGCGGAAGGGGCAAUCGGAAUUCUUUGUGUAGCGGUGAAAUGCGUAGAUAUCAAGAGGAACACCUGAGGUGAAGACGGGUUGCUGGGCCGACACUGACGCUGAGUGCGCGAAAGCCAGGGGAGCAAACGGG
rnacentral:rRNA from 1 species